rnacentral:rRNA from 1 species
GGCGGACGGGUGAGUAAUGUAUCGGAACGUGCCCAGUAGCGGGGGAUAACUACUUGAAAGAGUAGCUAAUACCGCAUACGCCCUACGGGGGAAAGGGGGGGAUUGCAAGACCUCUCACUAUUGGAGCGGCCGAUAUCGGAUUAGCUAGUUGGUGGGGUAACGGCUCACCAAGGCGACGAUCCGUAGCUGGUUUGAGAGGACGACCAGCCACACUGGGACUGAGACACGGCCCAGACUCCUACGGGAGGCAGCAGUAGGGAAUUUUGGACAAUGGGGGAAACCCUGAUCCAGCCAUCCCGCGUGUGCGAUGAAGGCCUUCGGGUUGUAAAGCACUUUUGGCAGGAAAGAAAUGGCACGGGUUAAUAACCCGUGUUGAUGACGGUACCUGCAGAAUAAGCACCGGCUAACUACGUGCCAGCAGCCGCGGUAAUACGUAGGGUGCAAGCGUUAAUCGGAAUUACUGGGCGUAAAGCGUGCGCAGGCGGUUCGGAAAGAAAGAUGUGAAAUCCCAGGGCUUAACCUUGGAACUGCAUUUUUAACUACCGGGCUAGAGUGCGUCAGAGGGGGGUGGAAUUCCGCGUGUAGCAGUGAAGUGCGUAGAUAUGCGGAGGAACACCGAUGGCGAAAGCAGCCCCCUGGGAUGACACUGACGCUCAUGCACGAAAGCGUGGGGAGCAAACAGGAUUAGAUACCCUGAUAGUCCACGCCCUAAACGAUGUCAACUAGCUGUUGGGGGCCUUCGGGCCUUAGUAGCGCAGCUAACGCGUGAAGUUUGA